CAUUCUAAAAUAAGUUUCCUAUCUUGAGUCCAAAUAGGACCCGUAUCAGAUAUAGCUGAUAAGAACAGAGGUUUUUAGAAGAAUGUUUGUUACAUUUUUUUCAAAAAGAACUGUAAAUAAAGACACA
rnacentral:lncRNA from 1 species